AUUUCACACAGGUAAAUGAACCUAUGUGAACUGUCGAUGGUGAUGGGAGAGCUGGCCUCAGUUUCAUGCUAAGCAUCGCGUUAGCUCUCACCACUCUCUCAAUGCAUUAUGUUACCGAUAUUCACAAAUGUCGCCAGGAGUCAGUAUAAUUCUCAAUCAUCAGAAGGUAUCAGAACUUGAAUUGUUUUUGGUAACCUGCAAAAAAAGGUGUCGACUUUUCAUGGUGUGCUAAACAUGUUGUAGAGGCAAUUCGUGAAACAUAAAAAUAAAAUAAAAAAUAAUAAAAAGGUUAGGUCACGAUGUCUUGCCAAGGCUGCACUGCAGCAUCUACUCACAGGUAUUAUCCCACUACUGGACAGCACGGGGGAUUUGACCUGCUUCGUUUCCGACCUGGGCCGGUGCACCGCUCCUUAGACAACCUGGUGGUCCCGGGCUCCCCCAGGAUCACCAUAUCGAUACUGAACUUAGCGUGGACACCCGUUCGACAUAGCGUGCUGCAGCCCAGAGUUCCUCAGCUCACUUGAUCCACCAACCUCAGCCUCCCAGUGACUUGGAUUACAGGCACAUGCCACCGCGCCCGGCGAGAAACUCAGCUGCAGGUAAAGAUGAUAGAGAACCAAUGGGUGUCUGCGAGUCUUAUCACCUCUCAAUUAGACACGAAUUCAUUCAAGCAGCACUUUGAGAGCAAGCAUCCCAAGUCUACAAUGGUCCCAGUACUGGUUGAUGUGCAAGCCUAAGUGUACCUACAGCUGGGACACAUGAUGACCACGAUUUGAAUGCUGCAACUGAGACGGAAUGACAUUGAGGGACACACGCGAGACCCCGAGUAUGACUGAACAUGGGCCGGAUAGUUGUGAUAACGACCUAAAAGAGGUGCAGAAGCACACCAGCACCCCAUUCUAUGUGUAUUCCAUGGCCAACCAUCUCUCUAACUACCUCUUAUUCUACACUGUAACUACCCCUUAUUCCACACAACUCCACACAACUCCAACACCAUCAAGUUCAUUGACAACUCAACGGUGGAAGGCCUGACCAGGCCUACAGGGGGGAGGUCAGUGACCUGGGAGUGUGGUGCUGGAGCAACAACCUCUCCCUCAAUGUCAGCAAGAUCAAGGAGCUGAUCAUGGACUACAGGAAAACGGGGGUGAGCACGCCCCCAUCCACAUCGACGGGGCGGCAGUGGAGCAGGUAGCUACUGCUACUCUCUGGUUAUCAUAUAUGCAUAGUCUCUUUAACCAUAUCUACAUGUACAUACUACCUCAGUCAGCCCGACUAACCGUUGCCUGUAUGUAGCUUUGCUACCGUAUAUAUCCUCGCUACUGUUAUUUUUCACUGUCUUUUUACUGUUGUUUUUAUUUCUUUACUUACCUAUUGUUCACCUUAUACCUUUUUUUGUUGUUGAAAUUGCACUGUUGGUUAGAGCCUGUAAGUAAGCAUUUCACUGUAAGGUCUACACAUGUUGUAUUCGGCGCACAUGACAAAUAAACUUUGAUUUGAUUUGAG
rnacentral:lncRNA from 1 species